rnacentral:rRNA from 1 species
AGUUUGAUCAUGGCUCAGAUUGAACGCUGGCGGGAUGCUUUCCACAUACAAGUCGAGCGGCAGCACGGACUUCGGUCUGGUGGCGAGUGGCGAACGGGUGAGUAAUGUAUCGGAACGUGCUAGUAGCGGGGGAUAACUACAUAGAAAGCGUAGCUAAUACCACAUACGCCCUUCAGGGAAAAGCAGGGGAACGCCGGGCCUCACUAUUGAAACGUGAUAUGGAUUAGCUAGUUGGUGGGCUAACGGCUCACCAAGGCGACGAUCCGUAGCCAGCGCUGGUUUGAAGGACGACCAGCCACACUGGGACUGAUUUUGGCCCAGACUCCUACGGGAGGCAGCAGUGGGGAAUUUUUGGACAAUGGGGGAAACCCUGAUCCAGCCAUCCCGCGUGUGCGAUGAAGGCCUUCGGGUUAUGUAAAGCACUUUGGCAGGAAAGAAACGGCGGGAUAAUACCCGAUGCAACUGACAGUACCUGCAGAAUAAGCACCGGCUAACUACGUGCAUAACCCAGCCGCGGUAAUACGUAGGGUGCAAGCUAAUCGGCGGAAUUACUGGGCGUAAAGCGUGCGCAGGCGGUUCGGAAGAAGAUGUGAAAUAUCCCAGAGCUUAACUUUGGAACUGCAUUUUUAACUACCGAGCUAGAGUGUGUCAGAGGAGAGUGGAAUUCCGCGUGUGGCAGUGAAAUGCGUAGAUAUGCGGAGGAACACCGAUGGCGAAAACAGCCUCCUGGGAUAACACUGACGCUCAUGCACGAAAAGCGUGGGAGCAAACAGGAUUAGAUACCCUGUUAGUCCACGCCCUAAACGAUGUCAACUAGCUGUUGGGGCCUUCGGGCCUUGUGCUUCAAUAACGCGUGGUUGACCGCCUGGGAGUACAGUCGCAGAUUAAAACUCAAAGGAAUUGACGGGGACCCGCACAAGCGGUGGAUGAUGUGGAUUAAUUCGAUGCAACGCGAAAAACCUUACCUACCCUUGACAUGUCUGGAAUCCCGAAAGAGAUUUGGGAGUGCUCGCAAGAGAACCGGAACACAGGUGCUGUAUGGCUGUCGUCAGCUCGUGUCGUGAGAUGUUGGGUUAAGUCCCGCAACGAGCGCAGCCCUUGUCAUUAGUUGCUACGAAGGGCACUCUAAUGAGACUGCCGGUGACAAACCGGAGGAAGGUGGGGAUGACGUCAAGUCCUCAUGGCCCUUAUGGGUAGGGCUUCACGCUCAUACAAUGGUCGGGACAAGGGUCAUAACCCGCGAAGAGGGCAAUCCCAGAAACCCGAUCGUAGUCCGGAUCGCAGUCUGCAACUCGACUGCGUGAAGUCGGAAUCGCUAGUAAUCGCGGAUCAGCAUGUCGCGGUGGUGUUCCCAGGUCUUGUACACACCGCCCGUCACACCAUGGGAGUGGGUUACCAGAAGUAGUUAGCCUAACCGUAAGGAGGCGAUUACCACGGUAGGAUUCAUGACUGGGGUGAAGUCGUAACAAAGG